UACGGAGGAUCCGAGCGUUAUCCGGAUUUAUUAGGUUUAAAGGGUGCGCAGGCGGGAGAUUAAGUCGGCGGUGAAAUUUUGCAGCUCAAACUGUAAAAGUGCCUUCGAAACUGGUUUCCUUGAGUGUAGAUGAAGUAGGCGGAAUUUGUGGUGUAGCGGUGAAAUGCUUAGAUAUCACGAGGAACUCCGAUUGCGCAGGCAGCUUACUAAACUACUACUGACGCUCAGGCACGAAGGCGUGGGGAUCAAACAGGAUUAGAUACCCGCGUAGUCCCUGA
rnacentral:rRNA from 1 species